UACGUGAGGGGGCAAGCGUUUGUCCGGAAUCAUUGGGCGUAAAGAGCGCGUAGGCGGUCCGGUAAGUCCGCUCUGAAAGUCCGGGGCUCAACCCCGGGAGGCGGGCGGAUACUGUCGGGCUAGAGUCCGGAAGAGGCGAGUGGAAUUCCUGGUGUAGCGGUGAAAUGCGCAGAUAUCAGGAGGAACACCAAUGGCGAAGGCAGCUCGCUGGGACGGUACUGACGCUGAGGCGCGAAAGCGUGGGGAGCAAACAGG
rnacentral:rRNA from 1 species